rnacentral:lncRNA from 1 species
UAGCCAACACCCCAAGCCCGUUACAACCUUUGACUUCAAUCUUGAGUGUUAUGCGUUUCAAUUUGUGGAGUUUGAAUUUGGUAUGAGCAUAUGGUGUCACUGGUUCUCGCGUCUAAGUAAUAGCAUUCCAUUCAUGAGAUCAUAUCUAAACAUGGUUAUUAACUCCAGAAAUUGCUUUCUUUGUGAUACAUAUAUGUGAGCAUUCGUUUUCAUAUCUACAUCAAUCUUCUCACAUAUAACUAGUAUAGGGUGUGUAGUUGGAAAAUCUGAGUGAAAAUUGAGUGCAUAUCUUGUAAGGAAUUGAGCGAAUUCUCUAAGGCAUGUUACUACAUC